UACGUAGGGUGCAAGCGUUGUCCGGAAUUAUUGGGCGUAAAGAGCGUGUAGGCGGCCAGGUAGGUCUGGUGUGAAAACUCGAGGCUUAACCUCGAGAUGUCAUCGGAAACCAUUUGGCUAGAGUCCGGAAGAGGAGAGUGGAAUUCCUGGUGUAGCGGUGAAAUGCGUAGAUAUCAGGAGGAACACCGGCGGUGUAGACGGCUCUCUGGACCGUUACUGACGCUGAGAUACGAAAGCGUGGGUAGCAAACAGG
rnacentral:rRNA from 1 species